rnacentral:lncRNA from 1 species
CUAAGGGAGCAUUCCCAAACAUUCAACUCUACACAAUUUCCCUUUCUUUGAUCCCUUUUUUUUUUUUUUACAUCCACACAACCAUGAGCAUUUUCUUUGCUUUUUUCUUUCUUUUCUUCGCUUUAUGGUUUCAAGGGUGGUUUCUUUUUCUUGUUUCUUUUCAUAUUUUCACCCUUUCAUAAAAACUCACUUUCCCAAGUUUCUAAUCAACUUUUCACUUUACUCUCCCCAACUUUAGAUUUCAAAACCAAAUUUAUUCAAUAAUGCUCCCUACUUAGAAAUAAGCAAAAGGCAAAAUUUGCAAACAACUCGAUUUGAGGUUUCAAUUGACACGAAAGAAAUUAGGAUUCAUUUAUUCCACAAUUUUCAAUUGAUUUU